GGGCGGGACACGUGGUAUCCUGUCUGAAUAUGGGGGGACCAUCCUCCAAGGCUAAAUACUCCUGACUGACCGAUAGUGAACCAGUACCGUGAGGGAAAGGCGAAAAGAACCCCGGCGAGGGGAGUGAAACAGAACCUGAAACCGUGUACGUACAAGCAGUGGGAGCCCCACCACUAAGCCAGUGGUGAACUCCACAUACGCAUCCUUUGCUGAGGAUACGGUUAACGGAGCGAAAGCGACGUUCAACCGCAAAAGAAGCAGAGGGGGCUUAGUGGUGGGGUGACUGCGUACCUUUUGUAUAAUGGGUCAGCGACUUAUAUUCUGUAGCAAGGUUAACCGCAUAGGGGAGCCGGAGGGAAACCGAGUCUUAACCGGGCGUUAAGUUGCAGGGUAUAGACCCGAAACCCGGUGAUCUAGCCAUGGGCAGGUUGAAGGUUGGGUAACACUAACUGGAGGACCGAACCGACUAAUGUUGAAAAAUUAGCGGAUGACCUGUGGCUGGGGGUGAAAGGCCAAUCAAACCGGGAGAUAGCUGGUUCUCCCCGAAAGCUAUUUAGGUAGCGCCUCGUGAAUUCAUCUCCGGGGGUAGAGCACUGUUUCGGCCAGGGGGCCAUCCCGGCUUACCAAUCCGAUGCAAACUGCGAAUACCGGAGAAUGUUAUCACGGGAGACACACGGCGGGUGCUAACGUCCGUCGUGAAGAGGGAAACAACCCAGACCGCCAGCUAAGGUCCCAAAGUCAUGGUUAAGUGGGAAACGAUGUGGGAAGGCCCAGACAGCCAGGAUGUUGGCUUAGAAGCAGCCAUCAUUUAAAGAAAGCGUAAUAGCUCACUGGUCGAGUCGGCCUGCGCGGAAGAUGUAACGGGGCUAAACCAU
rnacentral:rRNA from 1 species